rnacentral:rRNA from 1 species
GUAAACCUCCUUGUAAAAGUCUGAUCUUGUCAGAUCUUUGAAACUUAGCAGGGAUAGUCCUGGUCAGUACUUGGAUGGGAGACCACUGGGAAUACCAGGUGCC